GGAAGGGUGAAAAGUACCCCGGGAGGGGAGUGAAAGAGUUCCUGAAACCGGUCGCAUGCAAGCCGUCAGAGCCUGUGUGGUGAUGGCGUGCCUUUUGAAGAAUGAGCCUGCGAGUUAGUGCUAUGUGGCGAGGUUAACCCGUGAGGGGAAUCCGUAGCGAAAGCGAGUCCUAAUAGGGCGAUUGAGUCGCAUGGUCUAGACCCGAAGCGAAGUGAUCUAUCCAUGGCCAGGCUGAAGCGCGGGUAAGACCGCGUGGAGGGCCGAACCCACUUGGGUUGAAAACCGAGGGGAUGAGCUGUGGAUAGGGGUGAAAGGCUAAACAAACCUGGAAAUAGCUGGUUCUCUCCGAAAACUAUUUAGGUAGUGCCUCAAGUAUCACCAUCGGGGGUAGAGCACUGUUAUGGCUAGGGGGUCAUCGCGACUUACCAAACCAUUGCAAACUCCGAAUACCAGUACGUACUAUCCGGGAGACACACGGCGGGUGCUAACGUCCGUCGUGAAAAGGGAAACAACCCAGACCCACAGCUAAGGUCCCAAAUUCACUGCUAAGUGGAAAACGAUGUGGAAAGGCAUAGACAGCCAGGAGGUUGGCUUAGAAGCAGCCACCCUUUAAAGAAAGCGUAAUAGCUCACUGGUCGAGUCGGUCUGCGCGGAAGAUUUAACGGGGCUAAGCAGUGAACCGAAGCUUGGGGUGCGUAAAACUUCGGUUUUAUGCGCGGUAGAGGAGCGUUCCGUAAGCCUGCGAAGGUGGAUUGAGAAGUCUGCUGGAGGUAUCGGAAGUGCGAAUGCUGACAUGAGUAACGAUAAUGCGGGUGAAAAGCCCGCACGCCGAAAGCCCAAGGUUUCCUUGCGCAACGUUAAUCGACGCAGGGUUAGUCGGUCCCUAAGGCGAGGGCGAAAGCCGUAGUCGAUGGGAAGCAGGUUAAUAUUCCUGCACCUCGCGUGAGUGCGAUGGAGGGACGGAGAAGGUUAGGUGUACCGGGCGUUGGUUGUCCCGGGGAAAGGCGGUAGGUUUGGAUCUUUGGCAAAUCCGGGAUCCUUUAAGACCGAGCACCGAGACGAGCCUUUAUGGCGAAGUCACUGAUACCACGCUUCCAGGAAAAGCUCCUAAGCUUCAGCUCACGAAGACCGUACCGUAAACCGACACAGGUGGGUAGGAUGAGAAUACUCAGGCGCUUGAGAGAACUCGGGUGAAGGAACUAGGCAACAUGGCACCGUAACUUCGGGAGAAGGUGCGCCGGUGAGGGUGAAGGACUUGCUCCGUAAGCUCAUGCCGGUCGAAGAUACCAGGCCGCUGCGACUGUUUAUUAAAAACACAGCACUCUGCAAACACGAAAGUGGACGUAUAGGGUGUGACGCCUGCCCGGUGCUGGAAGGUUAAUUGAUGGG
rnacentral:rRNA from 1 species